UAAUUUAAUUGACUAAUAACAGAUAAAAUACUACUGUUUAAGGACAAUUUCCUUUCUUAGUAUUGUAUGUUGCUCGUCGGUUUGAGUUCUCCGCAUUCUCUCAGCUGAACGAUAGAUGGCAGCACGCGCUCAGUCCCCUGCAGUCUGAUGUAAACAUGUGUGACGUGUCACCAGAGACACGAGCACUACGUCAGGAAAGUCGCAUGCGCACGUCUGAACACCUGUGGUCGUGGAGGAAGCAGAUGGACGGGUUUCCGCAGUCAAACACUGACCCUCCUUCCACACUGACGCGUGCUUUGAUUCUAGGUAACAUCACAGAUAAUGCGUGACCGUGUAGACACGUCCCACUGGUGGAGGGGGAGGAGAAAUGCACACAAUCACUCACUGUGAAGUCAGAAAGACGAGUGGACAUAAGCUGCACGACUGACUGCAGGUGUGCUCAGGAUCUGUCUGUGCUUGGACCUGCAGCUCCUCAGAUGUCUGUGCUCACAUCCUGUCAUCUCUAGCUUCUGCUUUCUUCCAGAGAUUGUGCACCACAACUCUUAAAUGAAACAUCAAGUGACACUGUAUUUUUAAUGUUUCUUCUAAAUGUGAAGAUGGAGGGUGUUCUGGGUGUUACGCUGCAUCUGUGUGUGUGCAAACUGAUGAGCAGCAUGCUGUUGUGUUCGUCUGUAAUCACACACACCAUCACUGCGGUCAGUCUGUGCUGCAGCUGCCUGCUGUUAUUUACAGACCUCGCUGUCACUGUGUUUUUGCUCUACAUCUGGUUCAUGGAGUCCUGGUUGACGCCUUUUUACGCGUCUUCGGAUGUCAUCGCCCUUCGAUUUCUGCUCUUCCUUUGCAAGGCCUAUGGAGUUGUGUUACUGCUGAUGCCGCCUUUGAUUGCUGUGGAGUUGUUGGUUGAUCUGCUGUGUCCUCAAAGUGGGCGAACGAAGGGUAGAGAUGCAAGCGAAUCCCUCUCUAGUACAGUUGGCUAUUUGGGAUGUUUUCUAGCAUGGAGCAUGAGCGGGAUCUACAGCAGCCACGACUGGAUGCUGGAGCAGAUCUCAGUGGAAACCUGUCAAGGAAAAGGUGGCCAUCUUCUCACGUGCCUUCCCAGCGCUGAUGAGUCUUCCUGGGUUCUUCCUUCUAUGGUGGUCCUGUUGAGUUUAACAGGGAGCCUGGGUCUGUUCAGGACGAAGGCAUCCAGAAGAUUGCCUGACUCAUCUAAAAACACACAGAUGGGCAAGAAAAAGGACUAUUUGGGCCCUGGGCUAAUGCAUAUGUCACAAACUCUGGUUGACUCAGAAAAAACACCCAACAGCUGUGGCGUACACAUGGCCGGGUUUGUGAACAGUGAGCCACGACAGAUCUGUCCUGGGAAUGGUGUACUGUGCGCUCAACAAACCGGUUUGGCAGACAGUAUCAAGAAACAAAAGCAAUCAUCCAGCUUUGCAACAUUUGCACAGUCCAAAACCGAUCUUUCUCUGGAAGUCACAUCAUUGGCUGUCUUUAACAGGACAGACGCAAAGUCUCAAAGCAGAUGCUAUUGGUUUCCCAAAAGGGAAAGUCCCUGCUCAGGGCGAGAAAUCUUCACAGGGUUGGUAUGCGUGGCUCUAGUUUGUGUUUUUCCCACAGUCAUCAGUGGUAAUAUUCUCCUAAUCUUUAAUCUGGAGAAUCUGGUGGUGUACAACUUAAAACUCUUAUCUCUAUCAGUUAACAGAGUACCGGAUCUGUAAGUGCUGAAGGUGCAGAUGUGUGGAUAAACAAAUAAAAAUCUAUAUAUUUAACCCUCUGGUGCUCUUUGGUCAUUUUUGACUAAAAAUUGUUUAUUUGUUUUUUUUAGAAUUGUUUACGUCAUCAGAAUGAUGGCACUUGUGUUCUAUUCUAAAUUCUAAAAGAUUUGAAAAGGUGAUUUAUAAUGACUGGAAUCAUUGGACAUUAAUGGAGAAUACAUUUUUUCUAGAGGACACUCUUGGUAUUGUGCCGGGGAAAAUAAAAAAUCUUACUGAAAG
ensembl:lncRNA